GACGAACGCUGGCGGCGUGCUUAACACAUGCAAGUCGAACGCUGAAGCUCAGCUUUUGUUGGGUGGAUGAGUGGCGAACGGGUGAGUAACACGUGAGUAACCUGCCUCCUUCUUUGGGAUAACGCCCGGAAACGGGUGCUAAUACUGGAUAUUCACUGGUCUUCGCAUGGGGGUUGGUGGAAAGGGUUUUUCUGGUGGGGGAUGGGCUCGCGGCCUAUCAGCUUGUUGGUGGGGUGAUGGCCUACCAAGGCUUUGACGGGUAGCCGGCCUGAGAGGGUGACCGGUAACAUUGGGACUGAGAUACGGCCCAGACUCCUACGGGGGGCAGCAGUGGGGAAUAUUGCACAAUGGGCGCAAGACUGAUGCAGCGACGCCGCGUGAGGGAUGGAGGCCUUCGGGUUGUGAACCUCUUUCGCUCAUGGUCAAGCCGCAACAAUGGUUGUGGUGAGGGUAGUGGGUAAAGAAGCGCCGGCUAACUACGUG
rnacentral:rRNA from 1 species